AUCCCUGAGAAUAACAGCUAUCAUCAUCUUCUUCAUCGGAAUAGCUAUGGUUAAUUGAAAGAACAACCAUUCCCCACAUAUCAGAUUUGGUGAUCCUUGCUCUUUCCUCAAGAGAUGAGAGGUGAUCAAGUAUAUAGGCCAAGGUUAACUGAAGUGGAACUCCAUCUAAGCAGCUAUGGUGAAGUCUUCACCCACGCUGGGUCCACUAUGGCUCUUUGGGAUCAACCAUGCUCCUGUCUACAAAACUGACAGCGAACACAUAAUGCCCAUUCCUAAAGACCUCUCAGCAUGGCUGUGGAGCCAGACAUCACAGAUGAGGAAGUGGGAAGAAUUCCCAACCUUUGAUAGAUUUCUUCAUGUGAAUUGGAGAAACACCUGCCCUGAAGACUGACUUACAUGUUCGGAGAAGCAGGCACAGG